GAGGAAUAUUGGGCAAUGCCCGCAAGGGUGACCCAGCAACGCCGCGUGGAGGAUGAAUGCCGUAAGGUUGUAAACUCCUGUUAGAGGGGAAGAAUAAUUCCGAUUGCAUCGGAACUUGACUGUACCCUCAGAGAAAGCCCCGGCUAACUACGUGCCAGCAGCCGCGGUAAUACGUAGGGGGCAAGCGUUGUCCGGAUUUACUGGGUGUAAAGGGCGCGCAGGUGGGCUUGAUAGUUAGAGGUGAAAUCCUGUGGCUUAACUGCAGAACUGCCUUUAAUACUUCAAGUCUUGAGUGCGGAAGAGAGAGACGGAAUUCCAGGUGUAGUAGUGAAAUACGUAGAUAUCUGGAAGAACACCAGUUGCGAAGGCGGUCUCUUGGUCCGUAACUGACACUUAGGCGCGAAAGCGUGGGGAGCAAAC
rnacentral:rRNA from 1 species